UACGUAGGGUGCAAGCGUUGUCCGGAAUUAUUGGGCGUAAAGAGCUCGUAGGCGGUCUGUCGCGUCUGCUGUGAAAAUCCAGGGCUCAAACCUGGACCUGCAGUGGGUACGGGCAGACUAGAGUGCGGUAGGGGAGAUCGGAAUUCCUGGUGUAGCGGUGAAAUGCGCAGAUAUCAGGAGGAACACCGGUGGCGAAGGCGGAUCUCUGGGCCGUAACUGACGCUGAGGAGCGAAAGCAUGGGGAGCGAACAGG
rnacentral:rRNA from 1 species